rnacentral:rRNA from 1 species
AUGGAAAGGUUUUCGAUGAAGACAAACUCUGAAGGUUCUCAAGUCAAAGCGUACAUGAACGAUGGUUGGCAGCUCAUAUUCCCCUCCAGAUUUUUAUGUAAAGUGAAGAAUGGCCGGAUUGAUAGCGAUGAUCAGUGCAGUGCGAGACAAGUACACGAUCAAAGGUUUAGACCGAGCUUGAAGCAACAAAAGAAGAAGAAGAAGAAGAAGAAGAAGAAGACGAAGAAGAACAAGAUGAUGAUGAUGAUGAUGAUGAUGAUGAUGAUGAUGAAGAAGAAGAAGAAGAAGAAGAAGAAGAAAGUCCAUUUAGACUUUGAACAGGUAGUGGUUGGGUUGUUUGAUCCUGUCUUCUACAGCUAA